UGCGUAGGCGGAAUAUUAAGUCAGUGGUGAAGUCCUGCAGCUUAACUGUAGAAUUGCCAUUGAUACUGAUCUUCUUGAAUUUAGUUGAGGUGGGCGGAAUGUGUAAUGUAGCGGUGAAAUGCUUAGAUAUUACACAGAACACCGAUUGCGAAGGCAGCUCACUAAACUAACAUUGACGCUAAGGUACGAAAGCGUGGGGAGCGAACAGGAUUAGAUACCCUGGUAGUCC
rnacentral:rRNA from 1 species